rnacentral:rRNA from 2 species
CCAAUAGCGUAUAUUAAAGUUGUUGCAGUUAAAAAGCUCGUAGUUGAAUUUCGGGAUUGACACAUCGGUCGUGCCCUAAGGGGUAUGAACUGGUGUAGUCAGUUUCUCACCUUCUGGAGAACCGCGAUGUCCUUAAUUGGGUGCCGCGAGGAACCAGGACCUUUACUUUGAAAAAAUUAGAGUGUUUAAAGCAGGCAUUU